rnacentral:rRNA from 1 species
CUACGGGAGGCAGCAGUGGGGAAUCUUAGACAAUGGGGGAAACCCUGAUCUAGCCAUGCCGCGUGAGUGAUGAAGGCCUUAGGGUCGUAAAGCUCUUUCGCCAGGGAAGAUAAUGACGGUACCUGGUAAAGAAACCCCGGCUAACUCCGUGCCAGCAGCCGCGGUAAUACGGAGGGGGUUAGCGUUGUUCGGAAUUACUGGGCGUAAAGCGCGCGUAGGCGGAUUGUUAAGUCGGGGGUGAAAUCCCGGGGCUCAACCCCGGAACUGCCCUCGAUACUGGCAGUCUUGAGUUCGAGAGAGGUGAGUGGAAUUCCGAGUGUAGAGGUGAAAUUCGUAGAUAUUCGGAGGAACAUCAGUGGCGAAGGCGACUCACUGGCUCGAUACUGACGCUGAGGUGCGAAAGUGUGGGGAGCAAACAGGAUUAGAUACCCGUGUAGUC